CUGUAGGGGGAGCGCUUCCUCUGGAGGGGGAUGCAGCACUAGGAGGAGUCGUGUCACGCCUGCCUGAUUCCCAGCUUCUUGCCAGAGAUCUUUGAAAGUGCAAGUGGAACAGGCUUCUCCCCCCAUGGCUCCACUACCGGUGUAGUCACAGUGAACAUGAGAUCAGACGCCAGGGAUCUGAUGCCAUUUAAGAAGUACCUUUCGCCUUCUGCCAUGAUUGUAAGGCCUCCCCAGCCACAUGGAACUGAGAACACAGCAAGAAGAUGACCAUUUGCAAGCUAGAAAGAGGGCCC